CUAGCCUACUAAAUAGUCACUGGAUAAUUUAGUCCAGACGACUUCUUAGAGGGACAAGCGGUGUUCAGCCGCACGAAGUUGAGCAAUAACAGGUCUGUGAUGCCCUUAGAUGUCCAGGGCUGCACGCGCGCUACACUGGAGGAAUCAGCGUGCUGUAACCAUUGCCGAAAGGCAUUGGUAACCCCUUGAAAAUCCUCCGUGAUCGGGAUCGGGAAUUGCAAUUAUUUCCCUUGAACGAGGAAUUCCUAGUAAGUGUGAGUCAUCAGCUCACGUUGAUUACGUCCCUGCCCUUUGUACACACCGCCCGUCGCUGCCCGGGACUGAGCCGUUUCGAGAAAAGCGGGGACUGCUGUUUCGAGACCUUUCGGGGUGGAGAUUCUUUGGUGGAAACCGCCUUAAUCGCAGUGGCUUGAACCGGGCAAAAGUCGUAACAAGGUUUCCGUAGGUGAACCUGCGGAAGGAUCAUUAUCGAGCUUCUAAAAAGCCUCAUACCGUACAUACUUCCAUUUGUGCGAAUGUGAGCCGCGUAGCGAAUCGCAAGAAAUGGUCGUCGGCUGUUUAUGGCUGACAAUGACUAGCGAAACGCGUUUGCGCGUUAGGUUCCCUGAGUGUCACGUCAUGCUAAGGUACGUGGCGCUAGCGCUCAGGGAUCCGCCAUUCUGUAACUACGGUGUCACUGGUUGGCGUCUAAACCUUGCUUGAGCUACCGCCCGACCGUCGGUAGCAAUGAGAGCAGGACGAAGUUCCUUUGCUGAGGCGGUCACUAACAUGACUGCUUCAGUAAGGUUGAGCAGACUUAAUAAGCGAAAGCCUCAUUCGCUGCCAGCAACCAAAACACACCCCCAAUACUAUGUGAAUUGAAUUGAUUUCCAGAUGAACGUAUGUUCCAUUAUGGAAAUAAUUUUACUACUCUUAGCGGUGGAUCACUCGGUUCGUGGA
rnacentral:rRNA from 1 species